rnacentral:lncRNA from 1 species
AUAUAAAAGCCACAGCAGCAACCCUCACUGAAGACAACAUUGAAGCAACCACAGCAAAGAAGGUAAGCCAGAUAGGGGCUGAGCUCAAGUUUUUAGUUCCUUCCAAGCUACCAAUAGUUACAGCCAAGCCCAUCAACCAGGCACAGUGAGGCAAGCCUGGAAUGAGCAAGCCUCCCAGAACCUGAGAUGCAGGGACAGAGGAUCAAGGCCAGGAUAAAGAGAUGACUGAGUGUAAGAGCACCACUGACUGCUCUUCCUGAGGUCCUAAGUUCAAUUCCCAGCAGCCACAUGGUGGCUCACAACCAUCUGUAGUGGGGUCUGAUGCCCUCUAAUAAAUAACUCUUAAAAAAAAAAAAAAGAGUUCAAGGCCAAGACAAUAAUUUUAAGGUCUCCUUAGCUACAGAAUGAGUGUGCUACUUAAGACUCUACUUCAAAAAAAACAACGGGGCCAGGCAGUGGCGGGGCACAUUACCUUUAAUCCCAGCACUCAGGAGGCGGAGGCAGAGGCAGGCGGAUUUCUGAGUUCGAGGCCAGCCUGGUCUACAGAGUGAGUUCCAGGACAGCCAGGGCCACACAGAGAAACCCUGCCUCGAAAAACCAAAAACAAACCAACCAACCAACAACAACAAAAAAAAAACUAAACGGAAAAAUUAAGCCCUUUGUUGUGUUUAUACAACAUACCCACACUUCAGAGCUGGUGCACAGAAACAGAGCUAACUAGAAUGACUCAAGCAUACUUGAGAUUAAAUAAAUUGCUGUCCACAAAUUCCUUAAAACUCAAAGAAAAGAACCCUUGCCAUGAGCAAAAUCCAAACUACACAAACGAUUCUUCAUUCGGGGAUGGCGUGUGACCAUGCAGAUAAGGGCACAAGUGUGCACAUGUAAAAGCCAGUGGGCAACCUCAGGCUCAUUCCUUAGGAGCUGCCCACCUUGCUUUGUGAGACUGUGUCCUCACAGGGACUGGGGCUUGUCAUAAGCUGGGCUGACUAGCCUGAAAGCACCAAGGACUGUCUCCCUCCUCGGCACUGGGGUUAGGAGCAAGCCACCACAGUGAUGGGUGUUUUGUUUUAUUCUGAACCUGAGUACUGGAAAUCAAACUCAGGCUUCAUGUGUACACUACAAGCAUUUUGCCAACUAAGUUAUCUAUCAAUCCCUUGAUUCUUCUCUGGGCCCAGGUUUUCAUGCAGCCGAAGCUUGCUGUGGAGUUGAGAACAGCUCCAAACUCUUGAUUCUCCUGAACUCACCUCCCAGGUGCACAACACACCCAACAAGUUAAAAUUUACUCAGCCAGCAAUAAAAAAGUAUACGGCUCAGGGACUAAGACUGCAUACCAUAGGGCUGGACAGAUGACUCAGCCAUUAUGAGCACUGGCCGCUCUUCCAAAAGAUCCAGGUUUGGAUUCCAGCACCCACACGGCUGCUUACAACCUUUCAUAAUCAUAGAUCCAGGGGAAUCUGUACACAGACAUACAUGCAGCAAGCAGCAACACACACAGACAAAUAAAUAAAAAUAAAAGGAGCUGGAGAGAUGGUUCAGGUUAAGAGCAUGUACUGCUCUUCCGGAAGGCCUGAGUUUGAUUCCCAAUAACCAUGUCAGGCAGGGCACAGUUCCUCCAGUGCCAGGGGAUCUGAUGCCUCCUGUACCUACGUGAACAUAAGCAUACAGGAGCAUGUACAUACAUUUAAUGAAAGUAACAAUGAACAGAUAAAACACGUGCUAGGUGAUUCCAAUAAAGGUGAGAUACACAGGCUGUCCUCCCCUCUUUAAGAGAAAAUGGGGAAGUAUUACGAUGAAAUGCCCUGGAAAAUACCAUCUCAGAUGGACCUCAAAGGACAAAGCAAAGCUCUAGACCAGGCUGAAGAUAUUUAUGAUACACAAGCAGGUGAGAAAGUCAACCAGUUCUCAGGAGGGGAAAUUAAUCUCAACAAAAUCAGGGAAACCGAGUCAUGGGGCUGGAGACAUGGCUCAGUGGUUAAGAGCUGUCUUUCCGAAAGACCAAGAAGGCUGGAGACAGCUUAGCAGAACACUGGUCUAACAACAAGAAAGCCCUGGAUCCAAUCUCUAGAAUUACCAAAGAAAGAGAAGCCAAAAGCUAGGAUUUGUAGGAAGAGUACAUGCCCAGUAUUUGCAAAGCCCUACGUUCAAUCUCAGCAGCAAAAAUGUAAGGAAAGAAAUAAAUUUCAUGGGGAAGAAACACAACUAUUUUGCUUGUAAAGUCUUCAAAAAAAAACUAAAACAGAUGACAAAAUUAUAUUUAUAAGUCUGUGUCUUUACAGGAACUGCAAGGAGGGAAGGAAGCCAAAGAGGUGAGGGAAACUGCACCAGGAUAGAGCAUGGUGGACAGAGGCCCUGAUCCCAUUACAGAUGGUUGUGAGCCACCAUGUGGUUGCUGGGAAUUGAACUCAGGACCUCUGGAAGAGCACUCAGUGCUCUUAACUGCCAAGCCAUCUCUCCAGGCCCCAAUGCAACUUCUAAAGGUCUGAGAACAUAGCCAGCAUGCAUUCCCUGGUUUAACACGCCAACCGCCCCCCAAACAGUAAUAGGUAAAUAUCAGCAUAACAUAGCUACUUCGCUUCAGAACACAGGUUUCAUUUUUCUAGAAUAUCAGCUUUAUUCAGAAACCAGUUCAAACCUGUGUCCAAAAAAGACUUCAUCAAAUGUACACAAAGAAUUCCUCGCCAGGCGUGGUGGCGCAAGC